GUCUAAAAUAUCAAGCUCAACGGCUCACUCAAGAGCCAACCCUCACAAACCUUCCUAAAAACUAAAAGAGCUAUUACUGAGUCUCAGCGAAUCUUGCCAUGAUCAGCUCUUCCCAGAAGAGAAGGAAGACCAAGGAAAUGAUUUGCUCAGGAUGAGGAAUGAAGAUGGCCAUCUUGUGCUCAAACAAACAGAAGUCCUCUGAUGAUCUCAUCAGCCAAAUGAGGGGUUUUGACCAAGUGAUGCUCUUGAAAGGAGUGAAAGAAGAGGAUGUGCUAAAUUCUCUUCAGAGAAAAAGCUUCUCAAAAGGUCUCAAACCAGCUUGAAGAAUGGUCUGGGAUCUUAGGACUGAGAAAUCCUCUGACUGAGAGAAGCUACACCACAUCAGUGCUGGAUAUCAACCACAAACUGUUUCCAGACACGAGAGAAGAAGAACACGAUGGGGAGAUGAAACCAGUUUAGAUGUGAUGAUGGGAAUCAUUAUUUUCUGAAACAGUAUCACAUGUCUUAUAUGUAUCACAUGAUCUGUAUCACAGUUGACUGGAUGGGACUGUGUGACUUUUAAGGACAUUUCAUCACUCAUCUGUGUGAACUGAUUUAUAUAUGAGGUUAAUGUAUUUUUGAUGAUAAUUAUUUUCAUUGAAUCUUAUUUGUCUUGAUGCUACUUUAUCAACUUUAUAGUCUAUGCUUCAAUAAAAUGAAAAUGGUGAAUAUUGUGUUCUGAAGAUUCUUGGUAAAUACAUAAUUUUACUAGGUAGGCUCAUAUGUGUUUAUUUUAGACUUGGAAAAACAACAUAUUAAUUAUUGGGAUUAUUUUUUUAUUUAAGACAUAAACAUUUUUGAUCGGAUUAAUAACAUCUGGGACAUCAGUACACCAGAAAGUAAUUUUUUUAUAUUUUAGUAACAAAUAUGCACAUUUUUUAGUGAAAUAAAGGGAGUUACGAGAUUAAUUAUUCUGCAUUACAAGAUGGUGCCAUGGGCUUUAUUGUUACAAACACUUGAGGGAUAACUGAGAAUGUAGCAGGAAUGAUCAACGUGGAUCUUGUACUGCAUUAAAACCAAGAGCAGGCACAUUACUGAUGUCCAGCACCUGAGGAGCAAGAUACGGGGGUGAG